UACGUAGGGUGCAAGCGUUAAUCGGAAUUACUGGGCGUAAAGCGUGCGCAGGCGGUUUGGUAAGACAGAUGUGAAAUCCCCGGGCUCAACCUGGGAAUUGCAUUUGUGACUGCCCGACUAGAGUGUGUCAGAGGGGGGUAGAAUUCCGCGUGUAGCAGUGAAAUGCGUAGAGAUGCGGAGGAACACCGAUGGCGAAGGCAGCCCCCCUGGGCUAACACUGGCGCUCAGGCACGAAAGCGUGGGGAGCAAACGAGG
rnacentral:rRNA from 1 species